rnacentral:lncRNA from 10 species
GGGCAGGGUCCUAAUCUGAUAGAACCGGUGUCCUCAUUAGAGAGGGAAGAGAUGCCUGAGCUCCCUCCCUCUCUCCCUGUGGGCGCACAAAGGAAAAGCCACAUGAGGACAGAGAAAGAAGGUGGCUGUCUACGAGCCAGAAAGAGAAGCCUCACCAGAAACCAACCCUACCGGCACCUUGAUCUUGAACUUCCAGCCUCCAGAACUGUGAGAAAAUAAACGUCUGUGGUUUAAGCCACCCAGUCUGAGGUAUUUUGUUAAGGCAGUCUGAGCAGCUAAUUGGCUCUCAGUUUCAAGGCUGAUUUCAAGAGACUCGUGUUGGCCAGGUAUGAGGGGAGCCAGUGCUCAAGUGAAGGAAGGAAAAUUCAGCACAUCCUCCUCGUCUAGCUGAAGGGGGCUCUGGAGCAGCAGGAGGGGCCCAGGGCAAGCCUGGAAUGAAAUCCGUGGCACUCCUGCAGGUUCUGGGGGCGGUGUCCAUGGAAUAUCCUCUGCCACAUAACAAAAUGACUAAUAAUUGCUUGGGGAGCUUUCAGAACUGCCCCAAGGCUUCCUCUAACACUCCACCCACACCUGGUUCAUGCCAGGUUGCUCGAUGCCUUGGUUCGGGAGAAUAGGUGUGGUGUCAUCUCAGGCUUGGUGGCAGCCCAAGGGAAGGGGCAAGUGUUCUGAGUCUCUCUAGAUGACACAGGAGCUGAGGAAAGCUGGAGUGAAUUAUGAGUCACAGCCCGUACCUCACAAGAAAGUUCUGCCCGAUGCCAGAGCUGGGAGCCAUCACCAGUUAUGCAGGGUUGGUGGAGAAGAGCCUCGGGAUAAUUGGAGUCGUGAUGUUACCAUUUUGGAAAUAAUUUUUUAAUUGCAUCUACCAGCUCACAGUACAGAUGAGAUCACCAAGCUGGGGGAGAAGGGACUUGCUUGAAGUGACCCUCAUGGACUGGGACUGGAAGGCAGAGCUGAACUCAAGCUACUCUGGGUGCUGCCCUGCUCCUGGAAGGAGGGGGAUAUGCUGUGCCCAGGUGUGGAAUGGAAUGGAGGGCUGUGACACACCUCCACCAUGGGGAUAUGGAGUGACCUUCUGAGAUGAGGGGGUCAUCUGUCAGGUCCCACCCUCUGUGCUGUGCCUUGAUUCAGACCCACGACACAACCAGCCGUCCACCCCACCCCAGGUGGUCCUGGCCAGGGGAAGUGCUGAAAUGCCCCCAUUGCCAUCCUGAACUGCUAUGCUGGUGAUGACCAUAGGAAAGCUUUAUUCUAGGUAUACUAUUUCAACUGCUGGGCCCCAGCUUCCUUAUCUAUAAAAUGUAGUUAGUUCCGGUUCCUGCCUUAUAUGAUGUGGAGAAGAUUAAAUGAGAUUAUGGACACGAAGCUCUUCAAAUUGCCCGGCACAGAGUAAACGCUCAAUAUUUAUCAGCUGUUAGUCAUUAGGUCUGUUUGACUUGCAGAACUUCCAGUGGUGGACAUUUUUGAAGGGAUGCUUGGGGCCCCCUCGAGAUGCUGGCCUAGCAGGACCCAGCUGCUCCAUCCUUGGAUGAAACACCCAACAAGUGUUCCCCGGGUGAUGGAUCAGGAAACUCAGACUCCUGGCCAGGGAAAACAGGCCUGACCUGCUCUCUGGAACCCCCAUGUUGCCAUCCAGGAGAUCCUGAAGCCCAAGGCACAAAUGAGGAGGAGCACAAGGAGUGAGAGAAGUCAGUUCAUCCAACCAUUAAGGAUGAGUUCUGUGUGAGAGGGUCAGAGAAGAGGAUUGGGAAGCAGAUGGAGCAGCAUGUCCUGGCCGGGUGCAGUGGCUCAUGCCUGUAAUCCCAGCACUUUGGGAGGCCGAGCUGGGUGGAUCACCUGAAGUCAGGAGUUCAAGACCAGCCUGGCCAACAUGGUGAAACCCCGUCUCUACUAAAAACACAAAAAUUAGCUGGACGUGGUGGCAGGCGCCUGUAAUCCCAGCUACUCAGGAGGCCGAGGCAGGAGGAUCACCUGAGGUCAGGAGUUCAAGAAGAGCCUGGCCAACAUGGAGAAACCCCAUCUCUACCAAAAAUACAAAAAUUAGCCCGGUGUGGAGGUGUGCACCUAUAGCCCCAGCUAUUUGGGAGGCUGAGCCAGGAGAAUCACUUGAACCCGGGCAGCCGAGGUUGCAGUGAGCUGAGAUCAUGCCAGUGCACCCAGCCUGGGCAACAGAGCAAGACUCUGUUUCAAAAAACAAACAAACAAAAAACAGUAUGUCCUGGAAAUCGUUCCUCAUCAGUUCAUAGAUGUCUUCCUCAAUCAUUUUACAGUUGCACAGAACUCCAUUGUGUGACUGCACCACAGUUUAUUCAAUCACUGCCUAUGUAUAGGAAGUGAUAUUGUUUUCAAUAUUUUGCAAUUAUAAACCGUGCCACAAUGAAUAACCUUGUGCAUUUGUAUUUUCACAGUGUCUGGGGGAGUAUCUUCAGGGUAAAUUGCUGGAAGUGGGAG